rnacentral:rRNA from 1 species
GGGCCAGUAGGUUGGUCGUGCCACCGGUACGUACUGGUCUCACUGAUUCCUCCUUCCUGAAGAACCGUAAUGCCAUUAAUUUGGUGUUGCGGGGAAACAGGACUUUUACUUUGAAAAAAUUAGAGUGUUUAAAGCAAGCUAACGCUUGAAUACAUUAGCAUUGAAUAAUGAAAUAGGACGAUCGAUCCUAUUUUGUUGGUUUCUAGGAUUGACGUA